UACGAAGGGGGCUAGCGUUGCUCGGAAUCACUGGGCGUAAAGGGUGCGUAGGCGGGUUUUUAAGUCAGAGGUGAAAUCCUGGAGCUCAACUCCAGAACUGCCUUUGAUACUGAAAGUCUUGAGUAUGGGAGAGGUGAGUGGAACUGCGAGUGUAGAGGUGAAAUUCGUAGAUAUUCGCAAGAACACCAGUGGCGAAGGCGGCUCACUGGCCCGGUACUGACGCUGAGGCGCGAAAGCGUGGGGAGCAAACAGG
rnacentral:rRNA from 1 species